rnacentral:lncRNA from 1 species
CGUUUCAUUGUCCUCAAUUCCACGCCGCACCAGACGGAGGGCAGCUCAUCGGGCGAGGCGGGACAGUCCAGCAGCUCUGGAGAAGGAAGCCCCGCCCCCAGGAGGCCUCUGACUGACUGCCGGUGCGCCAUUUGCAACCCGGCGCCCACAGCGCUCUCUUCUCAACCCCCCAAGGAGUUUUCUGCACAAAGAGGAGGCGGCUGCAGUUCCGGCAGUAGAUCCUCCAGCUGCCAGGCCUGUGAUCUGCAAUAUGUCCACGAAGAAGACGAAGAAGAAGGAGGCAGCCGGUCCCCUGGCCCAAGUGCAAAGGAGAAACCCUACAAAUGCCAUUUCUGCAGCUCUGCCUUCCGUUGCAAGGGGAACCUGGCCAGCCACCGAUCCUUGCACGCAGGUGGGCGUGCAAAGGGCACGUGGGCACCACUGUGUGCACCUCAAGACCAAAUGAGGGGUGGUGCUGUGGUUGGACUGUGUGGGAAAUGACCGAAG